rnacentral:rRNA from 1 species
AACGAACGCUGGCGGCAUGCUUUACACAUGCAAGUCGAACGGCAGCGCGGGCUUCGGCCUGGCGGCGAGUGGCGAACGGGUGAGUAAUAUAUCGGAACGUACCCAGGAGUGGGGGAUAACGUAGCGAAAGUUACGCUAAUACCGCAUACGUCCUAAGGGAGAAAGCGGGGGAUCGCAAGACCUCGUGCUCAUGGAGCGGCCGAUAUCUGAUUAGCUAGUUGGUGGGGUAAAGGCUCACCAAGGCAACGAUCAGUAGCUGGUCUGAGAGGACGACCAGCCACACUGAAACUGAGACACGGUCCAGACUCCUACGGGAGGCAGCAGUGGGGAAUUUUGGACAAUGGGGGCAACCCUGAUCCAGCAAUGCCGCGUGAGUGAAGAAGGCCUUCGGGUUGUAAAGCUCUUUUGUCAGGGAAGAAACGACUCCUUCUAAUACAGGGGGUUAAUGACGGUACCUGAAGAAUAAGCACCGGCUAACUACGUGCCAGCCGCCGCCGUAACAC